ACCCCGGUAUUAUUGCUGUUAUGGGUUUGAUUCGAGCUUAGCCUUGUUCAUUUUUUUACACAACACCCCCGUAAAAAAUACAACACGGCCCGCUCAAGCCUGCGGUACCCAAGGCGGCCGAGCCCCAAAAAACGCCCUGUUUUGCCCCAAAAGAGCCUUGCCAGCCCUUUAUUAGGGCAU
rnacentral:sRNA from 16 species